GUCCCGGUAGCUCAGCUGGAUAGAGCAACAGCCUCCUAAGCUGUAGGUCGUGAGUUCAAAUCUCGCCCGGGACG
rnacentral:tRNA from 1 species